rnacentral:lncRNA from 1 species
GUUCAGUGACACUAAGAAACAGCAAAUAAUCUAGAAGCUGCUGCACCAUGAGCGUCUCUGCACUGAGCUUCCUCAGACUCCAGGGCGGCAUCUUUGGGUUCCUCCAGCUGGCCUCCCUGCUCUGCCUGCUUCUUCUGCUGUUCAAGGCAGCCCAGUUCUACCUGCGCAGGCAAUGGCUGCUCAAAGCCAUCCAGCAGUUCCCAUCCCCACCCUCCCACUGGCUCUUUGGGCACAAGGUAGGAACAAGGAGGAAGGGGAGUAGGAGGGCAGGGAGGCCAGAGCUCUCAGAGCCUAGUCAACAAGUCCACAGAGCAAAGCCUCUUGUGUGACCAGCAGACAUGGCCUCCAGGGAACACCUAGCUCACCUCUCAGGUGAGCUCAUCCCUCACAAGAAUCUUGUAAUGCUGUUAACUCAGCUCUGUCACAUGCUCCUUCCCUAUGCAGAUCUGCCAUCUAUCCUAGAAACUCUGUGGUUCCUUUCUGAGUCUCCUCUUCAGAUUGAGCACCCUUAGUUCUCUCAACUAUUCUCAAAGAAUAAGGCUUCCCUGCCCCGGCCACUCAAUGCUGUCCUCUGUACCUGGCCUGAGGUUGCCCGGGAUCACAGACAUUAGUGUUAUGGAAUCCCUGCCCUGUGGAGUUCUUGGUGUAUGGUGACAAUGGACAUGAAUCUCAGAAUGUGUCUGUCCACAAGAAAGUAGUCAUUCUUCUGUGAUGGAUGAGUGAUAUCCAGAGGAGGGACAAACUGAUUUGGUUUGCCUAAAACUAAGGAAUUUUCCAGAAUGGGUGAUUUAGAGCUGAAACCCUAACAGUGGUAUGCAUGAAUGAGGGAGACAGGAUGACCGGCAAUUGAGUGGUACUAAUUUUUUACUUAUUCAUUAAACAUGACCUGUUAACCUUUCCAGUCUCCUCCCACACACCCUGACUGUGAUAUCCUUAGAACCAAGUCAAUCAUCCCCUCCCUGUACUACAAAGCCCUUCAUAGCCUAGUAUAGGUAUGGAGUCACUAGGAGGAGAGAAAGGAGCAACUACUGGCAACCUUGGAGGUGAGGUACACAGAGCUAGCCACUUUCUAUGAGGAUGCCAAAUAAUUAUCAGCAUAUGGAGAACCAAAUAUAGGAACUAUUAGAAUUGGCCAUAGAGAAAUACUCAGUUUGAUUAUGCAAAUUGCUAUACUAAUAACUUCUAGAUUAUUUGUUAAUUUUGAAACAUUGUGAACUUUAGUUUGAUGUAGGUGUCAUCAACUGAAUGAUGUUUUUUUUUUUUCAGAACUAGCUGCUGAUAUGAUGACCCAUUAACGACUUCUCCAGGGAAAUUUCCAUUACACUGAUAUACGUUAGAUUAUUUGUAGACUUGACAAAUAGAUAACAUCAUUUACAUAAAUAAUAUUACAGUACUGAGUUACCUUUCAACUUGCGUUAGCUAAUAACAGUUAUAGAAAAAUAUUUCUAGUCUUAUAGAGAUUGUCAUUUAUUAACUAGCUCUGCUACCUAAGUUAGGAACUUGAAUGCUAUGUGUAGUUAGGUUUAACCAAUGACAGUACCCAGAGCAGCAUUAGCAUGCACAGACUACCUUGGGUACCAAGCAAUCCAAAUGAAUGCAUAACAGUGCUGAACAGAGUCCCCCAGGUCCCUGCAGGGGACACAGCCAUAUAGCUGGAGGGUAAGGGCUCUCACUAACCAGGCUCUGAACUAGAUUAAAGGACAAAAGAAGCUUCUAUAAGGAAAUGACAGGAGAAUAUAGAGUAGCCUUCUUCAGGAAUUUAAGCAGGACAAUUCUCAGUUCAAGUCAGGAUUGACUGUCCCAGACUUACUCCACUAGAACAUAAGCUACAUGAUAGCAGAAACUGUAUUUGUUCACUGAUUAUCCCUAGCUCCAAGAAGGCUAUUCAUGCAAAGUAAGUUCUCAUCAAGUAGUUAUCCAAUAAAAAAAUGAGUGAAUCCAUUCUUCCUUCUACUUGUUCAUAUACUCACUUAUUGACUGUAGAAAAAACAUUUGCACACCUCUACCUAUCUUCUACCUAUCUCCCCCUUCUAUUCCCCCAGUAGGUGAAUCCUAAGAGCUUUCUGCAAUGCUAGCCACACUUGAGAGGACUAGGUGGACCCUGUGGCUAUAUCAUCACAAUCAGAUUUUCAGAAGAGGACUCAGCACACCACACAGACGUGACCUGUGGUAACAUGGAGAUUUGUCAGCACAGGAAGGGUAGCCCUGGUAACCAUGUGAACCUCAGAUGCACAAAAGCAAGGAAUAUUUCUGUUGGUUCAUGGCUUUAUCACGAGCUUCUAGAAAAGUCAUGGAACACAGCAGGGCCUCAACAAAUAUUUGCCAGAUGAAUGAAUGCAAGAGACUCAGAGGACUGG